rnacentral:rRNA from 1 species
AUUGAACGCUGGCGGCAGGCCUAACACAUGCAAGUCGAGCGGAUGAACGGAGCUUGCUCCUGGAUUCAGCGGCGGACGGGUGAGUAAUGCCUAGGAAUCUCCCUGGUAGUGGUGGAUAACGCCCGGAAACGGGCGCUAAUACCGCAUACGGCCUGAGGGACAAAGUGGGGGAUCUUCGGACCUCACGCUAUCAGAUGAGCCUAGGUCGGAUUAUCUAGUUGGUGGGGUAAAGGGCUACCAAGGCGACGAUCCGUAACUGGUCUGAGAGGAUGAUCAGUCGCACUGGAAGUGAGACACGGACCAGGGUACUAAGGGAGGGAGCAGAGGGGAAUAGUGGGCAGUGGGGGGGAGUCUUGUACAGUCGUGCGGAGUGUGAGGAAGAAGUGUUGGGAGUGGAAAGAAGUUUUAGUUGGUGGGAAGCGCAGUAGGUUAAUACCUAGCGGUUGUGACGUUACCGGGAGAAUAAGCACCGGCUAACUUCGUG